UCCCAUGGUUGAUGUAUGAGCUGUAGCUGAACGAGCUCGUUUGGCCAAGUAGUUUAAGUCAAAGGCAUUUUAUUCAUUUGAUUGUGCCACAACUUUUCGGAUUUGGAGUUCUGCCUCCAGAAGCUCCUCGACUGCACGAAAUUACUAUUGUCUAACUCAAAUGGUCUUGAAUGUUGGUCACUGCUUUCUUUACAUUAGUUCACUUGUGUUGUCUUAGUGUUGGCAAUUUGGCAUAGAUUACCAGACUCCAGAAAGAAUAAUAGGAGCAGGGUGAUCAUUCACAUUUUU
rnacentral:lncRNA from 1 species